rnacentral:rRNA from 1 species
GGUGAGGUAACGGCUCACCAAGGCCACGAUGCAUAGCCGACCUGAGAGGGUGAUCGGCCACAUUGGGACUGAGACACGGCCCAAACUCCUACGGGAGGCAGCAGUAGGGAAUCUUCGGCAAUGGACGAAAGUCUGACCGAGCAACGCCGCGUGAGUGAAGAAGGUUUUCGGAUCGUAAAACUCUGUUGUUAGAGAAGAACAAGGGUGAGAGUAACUGUUCACCCCUUGACGGUAUCUAACCAGAAAGCCACGGCUAACUACGUGCCAGCAGCCGCGGUAAUACGUAGGUGGCAAGCGUUGUCCGGAUUUAUUGGGCGUAAAGCGAGCGCAGGCGGUUUCUUAAGU